CCUACGGGGGGCAGCAGUGGGGAAUAUUGGACAAUGGGGGGAACCCUGAUCCAGCCAUGCCGCGUGUGUGAAGAAGGCCCUCGGGUUGUAAAGCACUUUCAGUGAGGAAGAACGCCUGGUGGUUAAUACCCAUCAGGAAAGACAUCACUCACAGAAGAAGCACCGGCUAACUCCGUGCCAGCAGCCGCGGUAAUACGGAGGGUGCGAGCGUUAAUCGGAAUUACUGGGCGUAAAGCGCGCGUAGGUGGCUUGAUAAGCCGGUUGUGAAAGCCCCGGGCUCAACCUGGGAACGGCAUCCGGAACUGUCAAGCUAGAGUGUAGGAGAGGAAGGUAGAAUUCCCGGUGUAGCGGUGAAAUGCGUAGAGAUCGGGAGGAAUACCAGUGGCGAAGGCGGCCUUCUGGACUGACACUGACACUGAGGUGCGAAAGCGUGGGUAGCAAACAGGAUUAGAUACCCCUGUAGUC
rnacentral:rRNA from 1 species